rnacentral:sRNA from 1 species
UAUAGGUCUCAGAGGCCCUUUGAGAUGC